rnacentral:rRNA from 1 species
UAAGGAAUAUUGGUCAAUGGACGAAAGUCUGAACCAGCCAUGCCGCGUGAAGGAUGAAGGCCCUCUGGGUUGUAAACUUCUUUUAUCUGGGACGAAAAAAGGGAAUUCUUUCCCACUUGACGGUACCAGAGGAAUAAGCACCGGCUAACUCCGUGCCAGCAGCCGCGGUAAUACGGAGGGUGCAAGCGUUAUCCGGAUUCACUGGGUUUAAAGGGAGCGUAGGUGGGUCUGUAAGUCAGUGGUGAAAUCUCCGAGCUUAACUCGGAAACUGCCAUUGAUACUAUAGGUCUUGAAUUAUCUGGAGGUAAGCGGAAUAUGUCAUGUAGCGGUGAAAUGCUUAGAUAUGACAUAGAACACCAAUUGCGAAGGCAGCUUGCUACGGAUAUAUUGACACUGAGGCUCGAAAGCGUGGGGAUCAAACAGG